CAUAUUUCAAAGAGUUAUUGUGAGCAUUAUUAAAUGGAUGACAUAAGUACUUCAGACACUAAAAAAAUGAUAUACCAAUUCUGAAAGAGGAAUAUGCACUCCUAUUCUUAGUGGACUCCAGUACAGAGGGAAGAGGAGUUAGAUGGUGAAAUAGGAAACUGGUCCUUUCAAGAAUCAGCCAUCAACAGCAGGAAAAGUUGUACCAGUCCAGUGAGUUCUCUGAAAACCUCUUAUAUUCCAGUACUAUCCUGGCAUCAUUUCUUUAAGGCUGUGACAGCUGAAAGCAAAGUCCAGAAACAUAUCUAAGGAGAGAUUACUAGAAUUAAGCUUGAUUCACUAUCCCAUCUUCCACAUGAGCUCAUUUUCACUUGACAAAAUGGACUUUCCUUCAUAAGACACAGGUAGGAAAGGAUUGUUUUUCUGUCUCCUCUGAGACUAGCUCUAGUCUUCCAGCCAAGCACUAGGCUAAAGGUGACACAUCUGAGUGACACAGCUUUGUGGGAUGAAUUCCUGGAAGCCAAGUCUAACCCAAGAGGCAGCUCACAUUCUUAAUAAACAGAAUGCUGAUUCUGGGAGUCCAGCUUAGGCAUAAUGACAAUGGAAUACCUAGGAGGGACUCUCCAUCUAUCCUAACAGUUCUUCCUCUGGAUGUGGAUAGAGUUCUUUUUCAUAAGUCCCUCAAUUGUCCUAGAUCAUUGUAUUGCACAGUAUUGAUUCUAAGAUGGAAGGUAAGUUUUUGGGUUUUUUUUUAAGACAGUUUUAAGACCCUUUGGAUGUUCUGGUUCCAUAAUUAAAUGAUAAUAGCUCUUUAGCUGAUAAAUUUGAAAUCCUUUUUGAUUCAGCUAGGUGGCAUAGUAGAUAAUGUGCUGGACUUGGAGUUAGGAAGACUUCUAAGUUCAAACCCAGUUUCAGACACUAGCCCUGUGGCCUUGGGCAAGUCAUAACCCAAUUUGCCUCAGUUUUCUCUUCUGUAAAAUGAGCCAGACUUUUUGCCAAGAAAACCCCAAAUAGGAUCACAAAGAGUAGGACAUGACAGAACAACAACAGCAAUAACACUGACUCAGAGUCCAAUGCUAAAUGGCCUGCUGGGCCUGCCACCUGCCAAUAAUUAGUACCAGGGUUCAAGGUCCCCUCUGACAUCUUCAGCAUCUAAGUCAUUUGAAAGCUUAAAGCCUUGUGCACACACACACACACACACACACACACACACACAUACACGCACAACUAUAAAGACAAUAGAAUUGAGACGGUCCGAUUGUUUGUUCCUGUAAGUAACUGAUCUUGGAUCUCAAGGUCUUUUUACCAGAAUCACUAUGCAGCAAGGUAUAGAGAGACAGAUGUGCUAAUUUUUAGAAUUCUAGUAGCAUAAGAGUGAAUGUAAAAUAAAUAUUGAAUAUGACCAAAUGUUUAAUUUGAG
rnacentral:lncRNA from 1 species